AUGGAGAGAACAGCGCAAGUGGUGUUAUUAAUAUUAACUUUCUUCUCUCUUAGAAAUAAAAGCUUCACUGUGAGGCCAAAUAUGCCCCGACCUACUAAGCCAAAGAUGGAUGUUGGCCCUCAGGAGAACUUUGCAGAUGAUAAUUACAAUCAAGGCACAAUGAUGCACUUUAAUGCCACAGAGAGUCCCUGCAGGCCAUUUACCAGUGGCACACCCAGACCACCACCUCCUAAACUCCCGUCAAAUAACCAAACUAGUAGCUUAGGUAAAGAGCCUGAUCAUGACAGGCAGGAUGAGGAGGAUGUCUCCUGGGAUACAUAAAGGGUUGCUGGGAAUAGUCAUUGCAGCAACUGGUUGCAUUAGUCACAUGACAAAGAUCAGAAUCAAGAAGGUGACAGUGAGCCUAGCCAAACCUCACGCUCCAUCCCCCACCAAGAGAUGCCUAUAUAUCUCCUCCUGCCCCCUGAACCAAGCAACAUCUAAAGAGUCAAGACAACUCCCCCAUGAUCACUCUGUACUCCCACAAACUUGCAUCCUGCUUGUGAUGACAACUCUCAGUUCUGUUUGUCACUCAUAGCUUCUCUUAUAGACUAUGCAAAUUUAGAAAUAUAUUUCUAAACACCUUUCAACAGAAAACGUAUAAAGAUUCUAAAAACUUGUAAAGACUAUGAAAAUAUGAACUGCAUUAGUUUACAUUAGCAUCAGUUGUUAUCCUACUCCAUUGCAAGUUCUUUAAGCUUGAGUCUUUCUCGAAAUGUAGACUCACAGGUUACUUACAAACACUAAAUACUGCUGCUGCUGUCGCUGCGUAACACUGGGCUGCUGUUUCGUGCCCCAGUGCUGGCAACGCUCACUGGAAUAAUCUGGGACUAUACAUGUUUUGGCAGCCACCGGUUGUGCAAGUUGUAACACUUAUAAAGAUGAGAGAGGUCUGUCAUUUUCAUCACAGGUACACUUCUACUGUGAAUUCUUAUUUAAGAAUUUAUUUGUAUGUAAUUUGUAUAUGGUGUAAUAAGUAUUUAGCACCUACAAACAAGCUAGAAUUCUGUCCCUCACAGACCUGUUACUUCCUCUUUAAGAAUUAGAAAAUGGAACCAUUGAAAAUCUCCCUCAACCUUUGGCUUCAGUAGGAAUUGAUCAGGCGUGGAUAAUUCAGCCUACGGGUAAUUCAGAGUUGCCAGUAAAUUAUGACACAGGAGAAUCUGGAAGAAAACCGCACGUACACAGGGAGACCUUGGAGGUUGUGAGGCCACGUCGCUAACCGCUGUGCCAACAUGCGACCUUUUUCGAUGGUUUGGAAACACAUUUUAUUGGACAGAGGACAAACUGAAACCAAAGAACAGUAGAUUUGCUGUCACAAUCAGCAAAUAAUGGUAUAAUGGUCUUUUUAAUAUGGUCUAAUUAAAGUUCUUUUUAAACCUCAACAAUGUGUUUCAGAAACAGGUUGAGCAGUUAAAAACUUGGUCCUGCAGACAUAAUGCACACUCUAGUUUACUGGAACACAGCCUAUUUAUAUGAGAUACCCCUCAAAUUUAUAAUAUCUAUAUUUUAUCAUUAUAUCUAUUAUAUAUCAUUUUUUGGGACACUUUGAUAUAACGUAGCAUCUUGUGAAGCUCUAAUGAAUUCCAUACCCAAGAGACUUUAGGUAGUGCAACUCAAAUGUAGUGGCCACUCAAAAUAUUGAUACUUUGAGCACAAUUUGGAUGUUUUCUCUUAAGUGGUGUACAUCUCUUUUGUUGCCUUUGCAAUAGACAUUACUGUCUGUGUGUUUAAUUAUUUUGAGGGGACAAUAAAGUUUAUCAAACAUCAAGCUUCA
rnacentral:lncRNA from 1 species